rnacentral:rRNA from 1 species
AGGACGAACGCUGGCGGCGUGCUUAACACAUGCAAGUCGAGCGAUGAAGCUCUUCGGAAGUGGAUUAGCGGCGGACGGGUGAGUAACACGUGGGUAACCUGCCUCAUAGAGGGGAAUAGCCUUCCGAAAGGAAGAUUAAUACCGCAUAAGAUUGUAAUAUCGCAUGAUAUAGCAAUUAAAGGAGUAAUCCGCUAUGAGAUGGACCCGCGUCGCAUUAGCUAGUUGGUGAGGUAACGGCUCACCAAGGCGACGAUGCGUAGCCGACCUGAGAGGGUGAUCGGCCACAUUGGGACUGAGACACGGCCCAGACUCCUACGGGAGGCAGCAGUGGGGAAUAUUGCACAAUGGGGGAAACCCUGAUGCAAGCAACGCCGCGUGAGUGAUGACGGUCUUCGGAUUGUAAAGCUCUGUCUUCAGGGACGAUAAUGACGGUACCUGAGGAGGAAGCCACGGCUAACUACGUGCCAGCCGCCGC